CCCGACCUGGCCAAGUGGGAAGGCGGCGGUCUGCAGAACUGCCACGACCGGGUUCGAUUCCCGGGGUCGGGUCCA
rnacentral:tRNA from 1 species